rnacentral:rRNA from 1 species
GAUGAACGCUGACAGAAUGCUUAACACAUGCAAGUCAACUUGAACUUCGGUUUGGGUGGCGGACGGGUGAGUAACGCGUAAAGAACUUGCCUCACAGAUAGGGACAACAUUUGGAAACGAAUGCUAAUACCUGAUAUUAUGAUUUUAGGGCAUCCUAGGAUUAUGAAAGCUAUAUGCGCUGUGAGAGAGCGUUGCGUCCCAUUAGCUAGUUGGAGAGGUAACGGCUCACCAAGGCGAUGAUGGGUAGCCGGCCUGAGAGGGUGAUCGGCCACAAGGGGACUGAGACACGGCCCUUACUCCUACGGGAGGCAGCAGUGGGGAAUAUUGGACAAUGGACCAAGAGUCUGAUCCAGCAAUUCUGUGUGCACGAUGAAGUUUUUCGGAAUGUAAAGUGCUUUCAGUUGGGAAGAAAAAAAUGACGGUACCAACAGAAGAAGUGACGGCUAAAUACGU